rnacentral:rRNA from 1 species
CGUCAAGUCAGCAUGGCCUUUAUGUCCAGGGCUACACACGUGCUACAAUGGGCGAUACAGAGGGAAGCAAGGCCGCAAGGUAGAGCUAAUCCCUAAAGUCGUCCUCAGUUCGGAUUGCAGGCUGCAACUCGCCUGCAUGAAGUCGGAAUCGCUAGUAAUCGCGGAUCAGCUACGCCGCGGUGAAUACGUUCUCGGGCCUU